rnacentral:tRNA from 1 species
UGGGGUGAGGUCCUACAGGCAAGGACACCCGGUUGUUACCCGGGAGAUUGCUGGUUCGAGUCCAGCCGCCCCAGCCA